rnacentral:rRNA from 1 species
GACAGAGGUGCCGAGCGUUAGGCGGAAUCACUGGGCUUAAAGCGUGUGUAGGCGGAUGGGUAAGUACCUUGUGAAAUCCUACGGCUCAACCGUGGAACUGCUCGGUAUACUGCUCGUCUUGAGCCAACUAGGGGCGACCGGAACAAACGGUGGAGCGGUGAAAUGCGUAGAUAUCGUUUGGAACGCCGAUGGUGAAAACAGGUCGCUGGGGUUGUGCUGACGCUGAGACACGAAAGCCAGGGGAGCGAACGGG